GACGAACGCUGGCGGCGUGCUUAACACAUGCAAGUCGAACGGAAAGGCCCUGCUUUUGUGGGGUGCUCGAGUGGCGAACGGGUGAGUAACACGUGAGUAACCUGCCCUUGACUUUGGGAUAACUUCAGGAAACUGGGGCUAAUACCGGAUAGGAGCUCCUGCUGCAUGGUGGGGGUUGGAAAGUUUCGGCGGUUGGGGAUGGACUCGCGGCUUAUCAGCUUGUUGGUGGGGUAGUGGCUUACCAAGGCUUUGGCGGGUAGCCGGCCUGAGAGGGUGACCGGCCACAUUGGGACUGAGAUAGGGCGCAGACGCCUACGGGAGGCAGCAGGGGGGAACAUUGCACAGCGGGCGGGAGCCUGAGGCAGCAACGCCGCGUGCGGGAUGACGGCCUUCGGGUUAUAAACCGCUUUCGCCUGAGACGAAGCGGGAGUGACGGUAAUGGGUAAAGAAGCACCGGCUAGCUACGUG
rnacentral:rRNA from 1 species